AACGAACGCUGGCGGCAUGCCUAACACAUGCAAGUCGAACGAGACCUUCGGGUCUAGUGGCGCACGGGUGCGUAACGCGUGGGAACCUGCCCUUAGGUUCGGAAUAACUCAGAGAAAUUUGAGCUAAUACCGGAUAAUGUCUUCGGACCAAAGAUUUAUCGCCUUUGGAUGGGCCCGCGUAGGAUUAGCUUGUUGGUGGGGUAGUGGCCUACCAAGGCGACGAUCCUUAGCUGGUCUGAGAGGAUGAUCAGCCACACUGGGACUGAGACACGGCCCAGACUCCUACGGGAGGCAGCAGUGGGGAAUACUGGACAAUGGGCGAAAGCCUGAUCCAGCAAUGCCGCGUGAGUGAUGAAGGCCUUAGGGUUGUAAAGCUCUUUUACCAGGGAUGAUAAUGACAGUACCUGGAGAAUAAGCUCCGGCUAACUCCGUG
rnacentral:rRNA from 1 species